UCCGGUUUGACACCGGCAGUCCCCUUAGAGUCCCCGGCAUAACCCGCUGGUAACUAAGGGCAAAGGUUUCGCUCGUUAAGGGACUUAACCCGACAUCUCAUGACACGAGCUGACGACAGCCAUGCAGCACCUGUACCAGUUCCACCCCUUGCGGGGCGUACCCGGCUUUCACCGGGGUAAUCCUGGCGAGUCAAGCCCAGGUAAGGUUCUGCGCGUUGCUUCGAAUUAAACCACAUGCUCCACCGCUUGUGUGAGCCCCCGUCAAUUCCUUUGAGUUUUAGCCUUGCGACCGUACUUCCCAGGCGGUCGACUUAGCACUUUUGCUUCGACCGUGAACCCGUCAGAGGGACCACGAUCUAGUCGACAUCGUUUACGGCCAGGACUAC
rnacentral:misc_RNA from 1 species